UACGGGAGGCAGCAGUGGGGAAUAUUGCACAAUGGGCGCAAGCCUGAUGCAGCCAUGCCGCGUGUAUGAAGAAGGCCUUCGGGUUGUAAAGUACUUUCAGUCGUGAGGAAGGUGUUAAGGUUAAUAACCUUAGCAAUUGACGUUAGCGACAGAAGAAGCACCGGCUAACUCCGUGCCAGCAGCCGCGGUAAUACGGAGGGUGCGAGCGUUAAUCGGAAUUACUGGGCGUAAAGGGCACGCAGGCGGUUAAUUAAGUUGGAUGUGAAAUCCCCGGGCUUAACCUGGGAAUGGCAUUCAAGACUGGUUAGCUAGAGUCUUGUAGAGGGGGUAGAAUUCCAUGUGUAGCGGUGAAAUGCGUAGAGAUGUGGAGGAAUACCGGUGGCGAAGGCGGCCCCUGGGACAAAGGCUAACGCUCAUGUGCGAAAGCGUGGGGAGCAAACAGGGAUUAGAUACC
rnacentral:rRNA from 1 species